AUUCUUAUUGGAUUGAAUGGGCUGCUGCGUGGUUCCAGGAAAUAGCUCCUGCUUAUAGUCCGUACCCGAAACCGACACUGGUGGUCUGGUAGAGUAUACCAAGGCGCUUGAGAGAACUAUGCUGAAGGAACUCGGCAAAUUGCACGCGUAACUUCGGAAGAAGCGUGACCCCUUAGUACGCAAGUAUUGGGGGGUGGCACAGACCAGGGGGUAGCGACUGUUUAUCAAAAACACAGGGCUCUGCGAAGCCGCAAGGCGACGUAUAGGGUCUGACGCCUGCCCGGUGCUGGAAGGUUAAGAGGAGAGGUGCAAGCUUUGAAUCGAAGCCCC
rnacentral:rRNA from 1 species